rnacentral:rRNA from 1 species
UAGGGAAUCUUCCACAAUGGACGCAAGUCUGAUGGAGCAACGCCGCGUGAGUGAAGAAGGUUUUCGGAUCGUAAAGCUCUGUUGUUGGUGAAGAAGGAUAGAGGCAGUAACUGGUCUUUAUUUGACGGUAAUCAACCAGAAAGUCACGGCUAACUACGUGCCAGCAGCCGCGGUAAUACGUAGGUGGCAAGCGUUGUCCGGAUUUAUUGGGCGUAAAGCGAGCGCAGGCGGAAUGAUAAGUCUGAUGUGAAAGCCCACGGCUCAACCGUGGAACUGCAUCGGAAACUGUCAUUCUUGAGUGCAGAAGAGGAGAGUGGAAUUCCAUGUGUAGCGGUGGAAUGCGUAGAUAUAUGGAAGAACACCAGUGGCGAAGGCGGCUCUCUGGUCUGCAACUGACGCUGAGGCUCGAAAGCAUGGGUAGCGAACAUG